rnacentral:lncRNA from 1 species
AUCAGCGCUGCGGCUGGAGGCACUGCUGGUGCUCCUGUCUGCUGUCCACUGCCACCUUGGCCUGUUUUUGCCACCCUGGCGCCCCGAACUCUGUGCCGCCGCACCCUUCACCCAGUCUUGGGACGGCUGGCGCUAAGAAUUCAUGCUAUGACCUUCGAUUCAGCCGGGAGGUGACACCAAGCUCGAUCAGAAACUAUGCCACUGGUGAAGAGGCAGCUAGAAGCCUUGUCAUUGGUCCAGAGCAACAUGAAGACCUACCUGUCACUUACACUGAGGCUUCCUGCCCAGUGGGUUCACCAGCAAGCCAGAAGGAAGCAUCACUGCCAUGGAUGUCCUUGUGAGGCAGUUGUGAAGCCUUGACAGGUUAUCAAACCAAGAGAAGUCCAAAACUCAGCCAAGAAUGGCCACCCAGUCUUCAGCCUCCAUUUGACUUUCCAUCUUGUCCACUGAGGAUAGCAGAGUUAAGUCAGGAAAAGAAAAUGGCUGUCCACAGAGGGAGAAUUGAUCACUGUCUGUUCUUCAAAGAUGCUUUUCUGGCCGUGGUUGGGGCUAUUAGUGCUCACUGCCUGGACAGAGACCUGUUUCAACAGGGAGAGCUUUAGAAACAACUUGUCAAGUUUUCACCACAAAUACCAUUGGAGUUACAAUUGGAGUCUCACUGAAUUAUACAGUAAUUUUUGGAGAGCUAUCAUCUUUAUAAUCUUCUCAUACAUGAAUGUGCUUCUCUGCUGCCUUUUGAGCUGCCAGGCACUGUGCUGGGUGAUGGGGAUAUGGAGAUGAAUUAGACACAGUUUCUGCCCUCAAGGAGUUCUCAGUCUAGUGAGAGAGUUCGACUUGUACACAGAUAAUUACAGUAUGGUAUGCUCUACAAUGGAGGUAUGUACAAGAUACUCUGGGGUUCAGAAGAGAAAUCAUUUGACUGAAUCUGGAGAUGCAGAGGUUGGAGGAACUGAUGCUUAAGUUGAUUAUUUUAAAAAGUAAAGGUCAAAUAGGCAGAAAACAGAGGAAGUACCUUCUAAGCAAAGAUAUGAACAUUAGAAAUGGAAUGAUAAAUUGAGGGACUACAAGUAGUUUAUGAGAUUAGGUUGGAAAUGUGGGCUGAGAAUAAAUCCUUAUAUAGUAUGCUGUGAAAUUUGGAUUUCAUUUUGAGUGUUUUAAAAAGGGGAUGCUUUUGAUGGUCACUCUGACAGUAGUAUGGAGUAAGUUAUGGAAAAUUUUCAAAUUUGGAUAGGGAGAUCAGUUAGAUGAUAAAUGAUCAUCUUAGCCAGAAUAAGUGGGAAUGAAGAAGGAAUAACCUUUUAAAUAAGGGGUUAUACAAAACAUGGAUAUAGAAGUUCCCAUUGUGGCGUCAGCAGUAAUGAUCCUGACUAGUAUCCAUGAUAAUGUGGGUUCGAUCCUUGGUCUUGGUCAGCAGGUUAAGGAUCGGGCGUUGCUGUGAGCUGUGGUGUAGGUGGCAGAUGCAGCUUGGAUUCCAAGUUACUGUGACUGUGCGGAGGCUGGCAGCUGCAGCUCCGAUUCAACCCCUAGCCUGGGAACUUCCAUAUGCCGCAGGUGCGGCCCUAAAAAGAAAAAAAA